GCCUACCCUCGGUAACAUCUGGGGUGCCCAGGACCCUUGGGACCCCAUCCAACCCAAGCCGCGCGCGGACCGCGCCCAUCCCUACUCCACUCGGAAGAAAACGAGAGCGGUUCAAAGGCGAAAUCCUCCGCGGGGGCUUGUGCAAGUCUGGCGGCUCUGAGCUGGGCGGGGUGCAGCAGAACUGGUGCCGAGGAGGUGCCGAACAGUCUUUCUCGAAGCCAGAGAAGCCUCUACUUGGGGAAGCUGACACCAUGGGGAGACACCCCGGGAGGAGAGCUGAUCCCUUUGGAGUUCCUCUCCAAGCCCCCGAGAUCUCCACCCUUCCCCUCUGGGCUCUUCAGGCCUCUCCACGCAGCAGCAGAUGGAGCGGCUAACACAGAAGUCUGAUCUCCUGCAUCCCCCCACCUCUGCCGAAGGACCUCGGGCGGCUUCUCAUCAGACUUAGGAUGAGUCUGCAGUCAGCUGCACUGGCUUUUUUGUUCCUCACACAGACCGGGGGCGGGUUCCCACCUCAGGGCCUUUGCACUUGCUGUGUGGCUGACAGCAGUUACUCCCAUCUCAAUCCUUGAAAGCCUCUUCAGGGUAGCCGCCUAGGCAGCCUGGCUGAAUACCGCUCGAGAAUUCCUGUAUCACAUCACCCUGCUUGAUUUUCUUCAUAUCACUUAUCAUUAUCUGACCCUGUUUCAUCUAUUUACGUGUGUACUGGGCGCUCUGUAAGAACUGAGUUAGGUCUGCCUUGCUCCCCGCCGGAGCCCAGCCCUGGGCACACCCCCUGCCUGGUUGCCGCCCCUGCUCACUGCCGCCUAAAGACAGUACAGCUUUGCCUGCAGCUGCCGCACCAGGAACGGGGGCUGGGAGUCAGGAGUUCCUGGCUGGGCUUGGACCCUGGCACUCCCACAAACUUCAUGUGUGACCCAUAGCUCCCCCCACACUUCUCUGCCCUCAGCUCCCCAGUUUGUGAAAAGGGGUGGGAUGUGUGCAGCGCCCCCCAGCUUUGGCAGCCUGAGUCUGGACUUCUGAACAGCGAUGCCCUCGAGAGAAGGGAGGACCCGCAAGAAUACAGCCUUCCUGGAGGGUGAGACACAAAACAGAGACCCUGGUGUCAGGCAGAGUGUGGCAAGUCUGGGUCUAGGAUGCGGAACCCUGGGCUCUGGGAGGGCUCCUGUGCUUCUGUCAGCCCCAGUGUUAUCCUCUGUAAAAGGGCUAUCCGCCCUGGAGCUCAAGCAGAGGCACCUCCACCUGGGAGGGUUUCAGACGGCCUGGGUGGGAGUCACCAACUCAGGGACCGGAUUCAGAGGCUCUGUGGCCUGAGGGCCCCUCCCCAGGGAAGGCUCCGUUGGCUGUUACCUGCUGAGGUUACAGUUGAGGGCCAAAGCGUGUCUCCCCAAAAUGUGUUUUAAACCGAGAUGUUAGCUUCAUCCUAGGCCUGGACUGGGAGCGAGGGUGGCAGGGCCCAGUUUGGGAUUUAAAAUGUAAAAAAAUUAAAAAUUAAAAAAUAAAUAAAUAAAAUAAAAUGUAAACAGAGAGGCAUUAAGUACUUUUCAGCAUUUAAGGGGAGACAAAGGGAAAUUCACCAGGCGAGACUGUGGGGAAGGUUGCCUUUAAGAUGCAAAUGUGUAUUGUGAAUCCCUGAAUGGGGACGUUGUUAGGGGCCCUGGCCCCUCGCCCCCUGUGGCUGGGCAGUGGGCUCUGAGGGCCCGGUGGGUCUGACGAACCCGGGAGAAGCGGCCAGAGAUCAAAGGAGUGGACAAGUUGAUGCUGAGGCUGAAAGGGUGCGAAAUGUGGGGCCCGAGAGAGCUUAAGAGUUCCCGGACGCCUCACUUGGAGGGAGACUGCUGACCCCUUCAGCCAGGGAGGGUCCCGAAGUAGGAACUGGGCCCCAGCUCUGCCGGGAGACUGGGACAGGCCAGGGGGCUGGUUCCUAAGCGCAGUUGGCCCAUGCUUAGGGCACCAGCAAAACAGGAGCCCCACAGAGGGUUCCAAUAGGAUACACAUUGUUUAAGGAUGGAGGUAGGUAGUGCGCAUCAGGGAAGAAGCCAGACCUUUGUGGGACCUCACACAGCAUUAAGUGUGGUUUUCAUUCUGAAUUGCAUUAAGCAAGAGGGAUGGCAGGCCCGCGUGCACACGUCUGCAUGGGGCCUCGAGGCACCUGGGGACCACGGUUGUUGAGUAAGAAUCCCCAACCUAGAGCUAAGGCCCACAGAGGUGACAGAGUUGAGGAUGAUCGGAGAUUUGCACCUGUCUCCACAAUUGAGCCACCUCCCUCUGUCCGUUCUCCAAGAGCUGUGAAGGCUGCUGGACCGAGCAGUGAGCGGGUGCAGGAGAAGAGGGAGGUGGGGGCCCAGCCGGGCCCUGCUGUAAGUUACGCUGCCUUUCCCCAGGCCUUCUUUUCCCCCGUUUCUUUAAAAGCUCAUUAGUUUUUUCUCAGUAAAGUUACUCGUGGUCUAAAAUUCAACGGUGAAGGAUGCAAAGUGAAAACAAAGCCCCUGCCCCUCAGUCCCACGGCCUGGACACAGCCCCGCUCCCGGCAGGGGCACGCGGCCAAACGGGCACAGUGGUGCUUCUUGCUUUGUUAACCUGGAUGGCUCAGUGGGCACAUUGGGUGUAGCUUGUUCUUCGGAAUAGCUGCAGAGUGGCCCACAGCCUGUGCCCGGCGCCUUAUUUAACCAGCCCUGUUGAUGGGUGUGCAGCGCUGUUUCAAUGCUUCCAUGACUCUCUUCACUA